rnacentral:rRNA from 1 species
CCUACGGGAGGCUGCAGUGAGGAAUAUUGGUCAAUGGACGAGAGUCUGAACCAGCCAAGUAGCGUGAAGAAUGACUGCCCUAUGGGUUGUAAACUUCUUUUAUAUGGGAAUAAAAUGUUCCACGUGUGGGAUUUUGUAUGUACCAUAUGAAUAAGGAUCGGCUAACUCCGUGCCAGCAGCCGCGGUAAUACGGAGGAUCCGAGCGUUAUCCGGAUUUAUUGGGUUUAAAGGGAGCGUAGGUGGAUUGUUAAGUCAGUUGUGAAAGUUUGCGGCUCAACCGUAAAAUUGCAGUUGAAACUGGCAGUCUUGAGUACAGUAGAGGUGGGCGGAAUUCGUGGUGUAGCGGUGAAAGGCUUAGAUAUCACGAAGAACUCCGAUUGCGAAGGCAGCUCACUGGACUGCAACUGACACGGAGGCUCGAAAGUGUGGGUAUCAAACAGGAUUAGAUACCCUAGUAGUC